AGCAGCCGCGGUAAUUCCAGCUCCAAUAGCGUAUAUUAAAGUUGUUGCAGUUAAAAAGCUCGUAGUUGAAUUUCGGGAUCAAUAUGUCGGUCGUGCUUAGGUACGUACUGGCAUCAUUGGUUUCUCCUUUCUGAUGAACCAUGAUGCCAUUAAUUUGGUGUUAUGGGGAAUCAGGACUGUUACCUUGAAAAAAUUAGAGUGUUUAAAGCAGGCUCACGCUUGAAUACAUUAGCAUGGAAUAAUGAAAUAGGACGUUUGAUUCUAUUUUGUUGGUUUCUAGGAUCGACGUAAUGAUUAAUAGGGAUAGUUGGGGGCAUUAGUAUUCAAUUGUCAGAGGUGAAAUUCUUGGAUUUAUUGAAGACUAACUACUGCGAAAGCAUUUGCCAAGGAUGUUUUCAUUAAUCAAGAACGAAAGUUAGGGGAUCGAAGACGAUCAGAUACCGUCGUAGUCUUAACCAUAAACUAUGCCGACUAGGGAUCGGAUGAUGUUAAUUUUUUAAUGACUCAUUC
rnacentral:rRNA from 1 species